rnacentral:lncRNA from 1 species
UGUAUUCUUUUUAAAGAAAUUAAUUUUUUUUUUUAAAAAAAGGGUAAACUUUAAAUACCGCUAUGUGGUUUCGCACUUUCUCAUUUUAAUACCAUGUGGUUUAAAAUAUAUCAAGUUAGUGUCCUGUGAUUUCAUUUUUAUCUUUUCGUCAGUUUUUUUGUUAAUAUUUUGUUAAAUUAUAUACAAAAAACUUCAGAUAACCUAUCUAGGUUUAUCGAAUAUUCACUUUAGUACCCUUUGGUUUUAACUUUGUCACUGAUUUAACGAAAAAAAUUAAUGAAAUCGAUAAUAAAAAGAAAAAAAUAAAACCACAGAAUACUAAAUUGAUAUACUUUAAACUACAAGAUAUUAAAAUAAGAAAGUAUGAAACUACAUGGGUGAUACUUAAAAUUUUCUCAAAAAAAAAACUUGUAUCAAGAGAACCUAUUCAAAAU